rnacentral:rRNA from 1 species
GAUGGCGACCGGCGCACGGGUGAGUAACACGUAUCCAACCUCGCAUACUGGGAUAGCCUUUCGAAAGAAAGAUUAAUACCCGAUGGUAUAAUAAAGCCGCAUGGUUUAAUUAUUAAAGAAUUUCGGUUAUCGAUGGGGAUGCGUUCCAUUAGGCAGUUGGUGAGGUAACGGCUCACCAAACCUUCGAUGGAUAGGGGUUCUGAGAGGAAGGUCCCCCACAUUGGAACUGAGACACGGUCCAA